GGGGAUGCUCUGGAUUCGAUUGAAAUUGUUGUGUUUAGAGUUUGCAUGCAGCGGUACGGGUCCGCUUAUAAAUCCGUAAUUGCAAUAAACGCAAACGAAAAUUACGCUUUAGCGGCAUAAGCCGUUACGGCCUCCGCGGAGUUUUCCCCGUACUUCAAAGAUGCGCCGUAAACCAACGGGGAUGGGUUGUUCGAUAUCUCUAAGGACGACUAAGAUUUAGAGGUUGCCGGAAAUAAUAGGAGCGUCGGUUGCCGGUUAUUUCCCUAAGAACUAAUUACCGAAUAAGCAUGUAGUAUGCUCGAAUGCAGAUUUUAAGACGCGGGUUCGAUUCCCGCCAUCUCCA
rnacentral:tmRNA from 1 species